GCGUCAGUGGUCCAAUGGUUAAGACCUCAGCCUUCCAAGCUGAUAAUCUGGGUUCGAAUCCCGGCUGGCGCA
rnacentral:tRNA from 2 species